GAAAGAGGGUUCUUAGCUGUAGAUGGGCUUCAAGGAAGGCAGUGGUUUAAGCAUCUUAUUUAUGGGCCUCCCAAUGACUAUGAAAGCAAGCUGGUUUUCUUCCCUGGAGUGGCAGAUGCUAUUUCUGGAUCUACAAGAAUGAAUAGAAAAGAAAGGCAAUCAGCAAUUCAGCAUGAGAUUUGGAGGGCUGCUAGAGCAAUACAAAGAGUUGCUAGAGCCAUUAAAGGGGAACUAACCUGAAA